UACAGAGGCCUCGAGCGUUGUUCGGAAUUACUGGGCGUAAAGGGAAUGUAGGUGGUGACGUAAGUCAGAUGUGAAAGCCCUGGGCUUAACCUGGGAAGUGCAUUUGAUACUGCGUUGCUGGAGUACGAAAGAGGAAAGCGGAAUUCCCAGUGUAGGAGUGAAAUCCGUAGAUAUUGGGAGGAAUACCGAUGGCGAAGGCAGCUUUCUGGUUCGUAACUGACACUGAGAUUCGAAAGCGUGGGUAGCAAACAGG
rnacentral:rRNA from 1 species